UAAUGAAUGUAUAAGACUAAAAUAUCAGAAAAUUGGAAUUAUAUAGGGGGGAAAUUGAAUUUUUUUUAAAUUUAUGUCUAAACUGUCAAAUAUCCAAUUGGAGAGUGAUAGCUUUUAGGAGUUGAAUAUGAGUCUAGAGUUCAAAUUUGUAUAUUUAUGAAUUGCUUGGUGUACAGAAUAUGAAAUUUGUGAAAGAAAUCCGUAUAUUGAGUAUAAGCAGAACAAACUGAGGAGUAAAUGACCAAGAGAUAAAGAAGAAGAUAGCCUCACACUAAGCUUCAGACGCUCUGAAAUUCAUUUUCCUUUUUCAAUUUCAUGAUGCGAUGAAUACACAAAGAUUCGAUCAGAAGCUCAAUAAGCCAAUCAAUUAGUGUGAAUUGUAGGUUCCUAUUUAAAGCUCCUGUUUGAGAGUUCUUUUUGAUGAUGCUCUCUGAAAUGAGUCAUUAAAACUUAAAAAAAAGGAAACUACAUAAGCUAGCUCAAACAGGUGAAUGGCUUGUAAUUGGGAAAGAAAUUGAGCUUGAUGCUGCUCUGGAGAGUGGGUGAAGCCUUAAAGACACACUUAUCUUUACUAGCAAAUUACUGUCCCCUUUGUGAGCAGAUGACAUGAUAUCAAGCUGUCACAGAAGCCUAGUGUAGCAUUUCAUCUGGCUCUGGUUACAGAAGCAGACGUGAGGGCUCUAGUGUCCACCGCUGACCCUGAAACGCUCCCUCUACACCCUCCUUCCACCCCUCCUGAGCAUCUCUGAUUCUCUCUGGCUUUUGACUCACUCCUACCUAUCCUGCCUUCUGCUCUACAGCUAUAAAGACCCAAGAUAAGAGGCGCAUUUACUUAAAAACCAAGUGACCGUUAAAUUACUUACAAGGU
rnacentral:lncRNA from 1 species